rnacentral:misc_RNA from 1 species
ACGCGCAUCAUCGCUGCUAUCGAACACGUAGCGCACACACCCCGCCGCCUCUCGCACUGCAGUGGCGGGCCGCGCUCACCUUUGUCGCUCUCUUUCCUUCGCCGUGCUCAACUCCCCGUUCAUGUUUGCUUGCUUGGCUUUUUCUGGGCCCUUCCCACCUAGUUCCGCGCUCUCCCUGCAACGCGAAAGUUGUGGUGACGCGCUUCGACGGAUUGCCGUGCUCAGAGCGAGAAGAGAGGGGCGGGGCGCGUCUUCCUCCGUCAGAUCCUCAGAGGGGGUGUGCCGCGCCUCGGCGCUUUUCGUGGUCGAUGUCGCUUCCCAUGCGGAGCUUUGCCAUGUCCUUCAGCCGCAGGCCCCACUGCCACUCCACGGCGCUGCAGCAUUACCUGGCAGUCCCGCAAACCCCGUUAGAUCUGCCGGCUUUGAGUAAGCUACCUGCCCAGCCGGUAGAGAACGGCGUUGUGCAUCAGAUUGUGCGAGAGAUGGCCAUCCGCACCUCGAGGUGCUACCAAUCGUUCUCCGACCCCAUCAUCCAGAAAACAAUGCGCAAGCCAAACGUGGAUCGGCUCUGGUGGGUCAAAUCAUAUGUCCUCCGCGAGUUUAACUACUGCGUCGCGCUCCACCGCGGCCUGGAACAGUGCCCUCGACAAGGGAUUUUCGACAGCUCGGCCGAAAUCUGCUUUGAGCGGCACGAGUACGGCAGCUCACCCUCCCUGUUUCCGCGUCUCCGAAACACGGACAACGACAGCCUCAUUUACGAGCCCGUGCAGACCUACUCCAGCAGUGACAGCGUCAGCAGUUGUGCACCUCGCGACGCCGAGGACGACACCAUCUCCGCCGGCGCCCCCUCCUCGACCUCGACGUCAGCGCCUAGCACUUUUCGUCCUCUCGGGUUACUGUCAAACCCUGCCAUGACGCGUGAUGAGAUAGAGGCUGCCUUCUCCACCUGGGAUCGGGGAAAGGCGACCAUGCCUCUCACUCUCGCGCUCAAAGUCCUGCGACCGUGCCAGUCGCUGCUGGACGUCAUGGUGAACGAGGCGGCUAUCCGCUCCGACGAGUUGAACGGGUGGUUCAUUCGUUUUUGCCGCCGUCGAGUCGCGUGGCGCGUCCUUCACGAACACCUUCUGUACUUGACUCAUCCGGCCGACACGCAGCAGGUCAUCUCAUCCGACACAGACGUGGUGGAAGUGCUGCAGCGCGCCGGCAUCGCCGUUGUUGAAAUUUUCUCGAGCCUCGUCGACAACGGCAGCGUGCUCUCGCUAGAGAUUCAUCUGGAGGAGGACAAACGUAUCCUCACCCGCGUCCCCUGUGGCACGUUGGUGAGCUCCUCUACAUCGCCCCUCUCGUGCCCGGCAGAUUUGCCGGAGACUCGCCCGACCCCAGCCCCGUCACGGGGCAUCUACUCGGUGGAAGGCCACCUGACGUACAUCUUCCGCGAGGUGCUCAAGAACGCCUGUGCGGCAACACUCAAGUUGAGGCCUGAUAUUGACGUGCUCGUCCGAUACGCCAGCGACGAUACGUGGGUGGUGGUGGAGUUCGUUGACCAAGCCGGUGGAAUUCACCCACAGCACUUCAAGAAUAUCUGGAAGUUCGGCUGGACGACGAGUGAGCACUACGAAAGCCAUCUGGGCGGCUUCGGUGUCGGGCUGCCCACGUCGAAGGUGUACAUGGGCAUGUGGGGCGGCUCCAUCGACGUUUACUCCACCCUUGGCGUCGAGACGACGGUGCGUGUGCGCUUCCCUAAAGCGCCAGUCGAGGUGCUCGUGCCUGAGUCAACCACGGCGGCCGCCGGCGUGUCGGCCGCGCCGAAAUGAUGGAAACGCGCUUGACUACGCACUCCUCCGUGCGUGCGCCAUGGGAAGGAUGAAUACGUCAGUCGGGUGCAUCGACGCUGAGACCUUGCACGUAUGGUUAGUGGCGUUGUGCCGGGCACUCGGCAAACUCGUUUCUUACACUUCAUGUUUCUCAAUUGGCGGCUCUGCGCAUGCAUGCUCAAGGACGCAGAUGUGUGGCUCGCGCGCAAGAGG